rnacentral:rRNA from 1 species
AACUGCCAUUGAUACUGUUAGUCUUGAGUAUGGUCAAGGUAGGCGGAAUGUGUAAUGUAGCGGUGAAAUGCUUAGAUAUUACACAGAACACCGAUUGCGAAGGCAGCUUACUGGGCCAUUACUGACGCUGAUGCACGAAAGCGUGGGGAUCGAACAGGAUUAGAUACCCUGGUAGUCCACGCCGUAAACGAUGAUCACUCGCUGUUGGCGAUACACAGUCAGCGGCUAAGCAAAAGCAUUAAGUGAUCCACCUGGGGAGUACGGCCGCAAGGCUGAAACUCAAAGGAAUUGACGGGGGCCCGCACAAGCGGAGGAACAUGUGGUUUAAUUCGAUGAUACGCGAGGAACCUUACCUGGGCUUAAAUGUAGAGUGCAUUCCCGAGAAAUCGGGAUUUCCUUCGGGACUUUCUGCAAGGUGCUGCAUGGUUGUCGUCAGCUCGUGCCGUGAGGUGUCGGGUUAAGUCCCAUAACGAGCGCAACCCUUAUCGUUAGUUGCCAGCGGGUAAUGCCCGGGAACUCUAACGAAACUGCCCGGUGUAAACCGAGAGGAAGGUGGGGGAUGACGUCAAAUCAGCACGGCCCUUAUGUCCAGGGCUACACACGUGUUACAAUGGCCGGUACAGAGGGCAGCUACCUGGAGAACAGGGGUGCGAAUCUCGAAGCCGGGUCUCAGUCGGAUCGGAGUCUGGCACUCGA